AUUUUUUCAAACUAGAUAUUGCAACUUCUAAGUAAGAUUGGCUACAUGAAGUAGACACCACUGUAGCUGGCAACAUUGUUGUUGGCCACAUUAUCAUUAGGCAGAUUAUGCUUCAUCUUUUGCUCAAUAAAACAUUUAGAGCAAUGCUGA